CCCCCCCACCCAAAGAUCUGGGGUUGUAGCUCAUUGCCAAGACCUUGAGUUCAAUCUCCAGAACCAGGGGCACAAAGCUCCAGCAGGAGAUAGGUCAAAGUGUUAACUGAAAUUACCCCUGGACAGGAGUGACUUUUUUCCUCUCGUUUAUAUUUUUCUACAUUAACUGAAUACUGCUUCUGUAAUUUGAAAAAAAAAUUAUUCCAAAGUGCAGCUAAUCAUUUUUUAAUACUGAUAAAUAUUUCUCUGUCUCUCAGUCAGUUCUAGAUUGUGCAGGCUGUGAGGCAGGCUCGGGUCCCUGCCCCGCUGGAUCCUGGGGUCUGGCCUCGUGCCUGGGAUUUAGCAAAUGUCUGCUGAAUGAUUAAUGAACAUAAAUAUUGAUCCUCGACAUUUGGGACCUGUAAACCUAGUUCCAUGAGGCUCUGAGGUGAUAGGGUUGGACGGAACCCUGGAUGGUACCGAAUCAGACCUUUCCUGACAUGGUACAAGGCUCCGCUUCAGGAGUGAAGCUUAGAAUGGGCAACUGCUGGAAAUAGAACGGCUGCUCCUCCUGUGGUGGAUUGGAGCAGAACUAGGAAGCCUCAGCACCUGAGGGAUCCAGUGGAGGUGGCGAGUCCCUACCUGUGUGGGGGUCCAGCAGGCUUGACAGCUCUUCUUCUAGCAGCCGCUUCACGGAGAGGUCCCCCUCGGGGUCUAGGGGCCCUUCCUCCAGGUCAAAAGAUCCCCCUUCCAGAAAGGGUCCUGCCCCACACCUGGAAGGAAGGAAUGCUACACAGAGGCCAAGACAAAGCUGAACAGACUGAGAGUUUCCUCCUUACUCUAUUUCCAUUAGCUCAUACGCUUUCCAUCCAAUCACAUUUCACACAGCUGUCCCUGAUUUAUUGAAGAUGUCUCUUGUGCUCCUACCACAUGCCUGGAAGCUCUGCUCAGACUCAAGACUGAUCAGGACUUGCGAAGAUGGAACCUGAUGCUCACGGGCUGCAUAGCAAUUGGAGCUGGACCCUGAACUCAAGAUGUGACUCCACUGGGUGCUGCGCUGCUGCCAGGACGAAACCUGAGCCGGUGGCCUGGCCAAACAGAAGAGUGCUGUGAGCAGACAGCCUGGCACGGGGAAAGCACCGUCCCUGAAAGGAUUCCCCAUUUAUGUCUGGUGAAUCCCGUUACGCGGCAGCUUGCCAUUCAUCACCCUAUUUAAUCCAGGUAGACACGGGAUGGACAUGAACAGAACCAAGAUCAACCCAAAGAUGGCCAGCAGUACAGCCAGGCAAAUCACCAUCAGCACUGAUGUACUCAGGACCCUGGGGUCAUGAACAGCAUCCCUCAGGUGGUCAACACUGGUGACAAACAUGACCCUCAAAAGGGCUUGGGUCUGCAAGGAAGGGCUGCCCUGGUCCUCUACCACUAUCUCUAGCUCCCACUCACUCCCUAUGAGGCUGCUGCCAUUGGUGAUAUUGAUGAAUAGCUGCCCCAGGUCGGGGCUAAGGCCAAAGAGAUGGGCCUCGUUCCCACUUCGAAUGCUAUAAUGGAGCUCUCCAUUUGCCCCAGAGUCUGCAUCUUUUGCCACAAUUGUCACCAACAGGAAUGGCCGGGAACUGUGAGUGGUCAGUGGAAGUGUAUCAGCACCUACUGGAUCUAAACCAUUGGGAGUCUCGAUGGGCACCAGAAGGUGACCUGUGGAGGAAUUUACAAGCACCAUGACGCUGGCUUUUCCAUUGCUGAGUACGGGAUGAAUCACCUCUGGGGCAUUAUCAUUGGCGUCCAAGAGGCUGAUCCACACAGAGAUGCUGGAUGCAAGUUGGGGUUGACCUCUGUCCUCUGCUAUCACCUGGAGCUCAAAGCUGGGCAUCUCUUCGUAAUCCAGUGACCUCUGAGCAGUGACCACUCCUGUGUCUGGGUCAAUCGCUACUAAGUGAGAAACUGGGGAGUCUUGGAUUCGGUAUGAUAUUUCUCCAUUAAUGCCCAAGUCUGCAUCAUGAGCCUUGAUGGUGAUGAGAUGAAGAGAAGGGCUCUGUUGACCUUCAGUAGCAACAUGUCAGGAGGGAUUAAACUUGGGAUCUUGCACUUGCCAGGCAGGCAGCAGCACCACUGAGCAAAAUCCCUGGCAGCAAAGACUUUUGAAUGAGUUGAUGCAAACUAUAUUCUUCAUGAUUUUCAACAAAACGCAAGAGAGGAUUGAUAUUUUUAAAUUUUUACUUUAUUCUUCGGUAACCAUAACAUAGUCCCAAAACUGGACCAUGUGAGUUCUGGGUUAAUAAAGGUUACCCACACAUCUCUCCCCGCAAGCCCUCAAAGGGAAGGGGUGCUACUUCUGUUACAUGAAUUUAAAUGUGCAUAUACUAUUGCAGUUCUGAUAUGUACCCUAUCUCUACCCUAACCUCACUGGGAACCCUGAUUAAAACUCAGAAGCACCAGAGCCUUACAAGGGCCCGACUCCAGAGCCAGCUCCAUAGCAUGGAAAGGAAGCUGGGAUGCUCUCCUGCCCAGCAUCCUCCUGGUGCCAUCCUCUCCCUGACACCUGCGUCACUGGUCACGGGAGCUCAGUCCUCACCUGGCUCUCUCUCUGUGUUUCCCCACACUCCUCUGUCUGCUUCGUAGACAUCUCUGGUUUUCCUACCUUCUUACUCUCAGGUGUGGGAAUGCUCCCGAGAAACUGUCUUCGGCUCCCUCCUUGGAGUAACUAACUAGAUAUCGGUCGCCAGAUCUGGUAAAUAAAAAGACAGGGUGCCCAGUUAAAUUUGAAUUCUGGAAAAACAAUGAAUACCCUUUUGGUAUAAGUAUUUUUAUCUGACAAGCCUGUUCAGAAAUAAUGUAUGCUUUCAACAGAAUUUUUUUCCUGUCUUUCCUCCCCACCCCCCGAAUUUUAGUUUGCACAGUGAAUUUGAAAAUGUACCAGUAAACACAAAAAUCUAACAUAUUGACUGGGUGCAUCAUCUGUGCAUGAAUAUUCAGAAGCUGACUCUGUUGAUUGGCCUUGCUAUGUACUCAGCAUUUCUGGGUCACUCCGGGACUGAACUGUUCUCACACUGAAAGAACCACCCUAGAGGAAGCCUGGAUCGCACAGUCACUUGCUUAUUUGGUGGAAUUCAGCAUGUUCUUCUCUGUGCACAAGAAAGGCUCCUGCACGAAGGAGAAUGAGUCUUCCCAUCGUGACAUAAAUCCUCAUGGGGCUUCCCUUUUCAAGUUUAUGACAGCCAGGAGUUGAGCCUGGAGCUCUGAGAGAAACAGCCACACAUUGAUUUAUGAUGGCAGCUGCUGCUAAAUCUCACCCCUCUUUCCUUCUUACAGAGCCAUGUUACCUUGGGGUUACAAAACUCUUUUCACUGUUAUUCAGGGGAAUAAUAAUAAAGUGCCAG